CCUGCUCGAGACCUAAGGGCUGGAGGAGCCGCCCCAAGCAGCACACCGACGGCGGCGGUGGCGCGGCGCCCAGGUAAGCUCCUCUCGUCGGCCCUCCUCCUCCUCCUCCUCCGGUAACGGCAUACCCACCGCCGCAGCUUGUUCCCCUUCCUCCCAUGGCAUCCCAUCUCCUACCGCUCGAUGUCCUCCUCCCAUGGCCGCUACUGCCGGGAUCUAGCUGUCCACCGCCGCUCCUCCUCCCGUACCUCUGCUUCGACGUCCCUCCAUGCCACAGGACCCCCCUCCUCCUCUGCCACUGUUCUCCCUUCUCGUCUGCUCCUUCCACAUGUGCUCUGCUGUCAGAUCCCCUCUACUGUCCUCUCCUUCUUCCCAAGCUUUCUUGCUUUAAUGUUCCCCUGAUAUGAACAUUGUUCCAGCCUUCCAUGUUCUCUUGAUUGUCUAUGAUCCUUGCAAUGAACCUACUUUUGCUACUUAAUGGUCACCAGAUCCGGGACGAGACGGAACUGGUCGGACCAAUGGGCGCGCCGCCACGCAGCCAUGGGGCCGCCGCCCCGGCCACUGCCGCCCCCUGUGCAUCCGGCCGAUUCCCACCGGCACCACCGCAGCCGCCGCCGCUAGGACGCCGCUCCACCGUGGGCCGAAGUGGGGGCCGCACCUCCGUGGAUCUGGGUGCCCGCGCCACCCAUGGAUCCGAGGGAGAGGGGAGAGGCCCUUCGCCACCGCGUCGCAUGCACGGGCUUUGCCCGGCGCCGACUACCUGCGGCAGCGGAGGGGAGGAUGUGGCAUGGGGAGGGUCGCUGGCGGUGGCGGAGGCUGGCCCCCCAUGUCGCCCGUGAGGGGGCGACACGAGAGGGAGAGGGAGCGAUCUAAAAUUCGAAUCUUAAACGCGAGAGGGAGAGGGAGGAGAGGGAGAGGAGGGCUUGUGUGCUAAAAGGGACUAUACAUGCGACUAUUUAUCUCUCAUUCAUAUAUGCUCCUUCUCUAAAAGCAUUUUCAAAAGGGACCGGGGGUAGUAUGUAAAGAAGGAGCAUAUACAUAAGUUUCUCAAUACCAGUUUGCUCACUUAAGUUUCUUUUUGAUAAACAGUAUGUUUUCUAAAAAAGAAGGAAAAUGUACUCUUUGCUCACCGCUGAAGUAACUAAAUAUAGGUUGCUGCUUUUUUUUGCAAAUAAAGAACUUCCAUUACUUAACCAGAGACACUAUUACAGUCCUGUUGACAUAAAAUGUCAACCUCAUCAGGGGCACUACGGAGCCAGACAACAGUUUUAGGUAACAACCGACCCAUUUGGGCGAGAGCAUGGCUAACUUUGUUCUGUUCUCGCUUAAUUAACAUGAUUUUAUGCGGGCUGCUAGCUAGGAGCUGCCUAAUAUCCCCAACCAUGGCUGCAACUGGGGACCUAUUGGCUUCAGUAUCCAUGAUCAUGUGCAUCGCUACUGAGCAGUCCGUCUCAACGAUCAGCCCGUCCGGACUCCGCUCGAGGGCCAGGUCCACUCCCUCCAUGAGAGCUGCCAUCUCAGCCUCGAGGGCGCUUGUGCACCACUGGAUGAAGCGACAAGAAGAAAAAAUUAUGGAACCUGUGUAGUCUCGAAGGACCAUGUCGGCACCUCAUGUGCCCUCCUCCUCUUUCCAAGACCCGUCCACAUUCAACUUGACCCAACCAGGUGGAGGCUUGCUCCAACGCAACAGCGACAGCAUGCAAGUGUUUGAUAUUCCAUACUGUAGGUUACUAUUCCUUCGUCCUCCAUAGGUGACCCUUUUGCAACAUCAUCAGAGUGGUGCUGCUGAGUGCUGAAUGUACAACAAUGUGUUGAUGUAGCCGGAUAAAAAUCUGGUCGAGGCUUCAAUUGGCGGGGCUGGUUUGUGAUGAUACACCUCAUUCCGCACGUACCAGUUACUGUAGGAAAUACUUAUGUGUGGCUUGCAACAUUUUACAUAUAUACUACAUGAUUCCUGGAAUAUGUUUACCUUGAUAUGGAAUUUACCAAUGCACUUAAAUAUUGCUUGGAAUACAUGAAUGAAAUAUAGUUCAUGGAAGCCGGUACAUAUAUGCUGGAAACAGUAUUUAUUAAUGCUGGAAUAUUUAUUGUACUAAAUGUAUAUUUGCCCGGGCACAGCAUACUAUGGAAAGCCAGGUUGUUCGUGGUUUUGGCUCCAUGAAUUGGUAAAGCCUGUGAAUUUGAAUUUUAAUUCAAAUUUAGCAUGCGACUCACACGUACAUGCUUGUGGGACAGUUUGCAGAUGAAACUCCUUGAUGGUUACUAAUGAUCGUGGUUGGUUAAGUUAACCUGGAGUCUUCGUUUAAACAGAUUUUAUCUGGACAUUUAUCUGCAGUUUAUACAGUUUGAAAUUAACUGGAAUAGCACUAUAUAAAGGUCCCUAACCCCUAGCCUCAAUGGAUCAUUGUGAGCGGAACCACGGAAAAGGAUCGAGGAAUAGGGGUUAGACCGUGUGCGUAUAUUUCUUACAUUGGCACCAGAGCCGAUUAAGGGUUUGACGAUUUGUUUAAUCGUCGGAUCAAUUACGAUCUGGACUCCACUGCGUACUCUACUUAUCCUUUACCAAAAGAAAAGGGAAAGAGGGAGGCCCGUACGUACAAGUCAACCCAGAUUAGAUCGCUCGAUUCCUCUGGUCCAGCGCCGCCGCUUUGCUCGAUUCCGCUCGCCCAGCGCCGCCGCUUCGCCCGACCUCCACCAAAUCCACGCCGUCGCCUCCAGGCCUGAGCCCCAGCUGCGCCUCCGCCUCCACCUCCCCAUCCACUUCGGGCCGAGCCUGCCACCGCCCGUGACCGGCUCCUCCCCGACGUUCGCGCCGCUCCCCAUCAAUUUUCGCCCCGCUCCCGCCGCGUCCGUCGACUUCGUUCCCUGCGCCUCCAUAGCGCUCCUUCGAAGGAAGCGGAUACAUCAAUCAUCGCCCCGACCAACUCUCGCCGGCCUGCUUCGCGUACAGCGGCAAGGACCUACAUCGACAACUGUCGGCCUCGACGACAGGAACUUGAAGGUAACAGAGGAAGCAACUAAUCGUUGGAUAUUGAAUUUCAAUGGCUUCCAAUGGUGUCUUCGCUGAAUUACUCCGUGCCUACAAACUUGAUGGAACAAACUACACGGUUUGGAAAAGGAAGAUUAUGUUCUUGCUUACGGCUGAGAAUAUAGAUUAUGUUUCUGAGACCGGGGCGCCUAACGAGCUAGCAGAGGAUGCUACACAUGAAGACAAACAGGAAUACAAUGAUGAACUGAAGCAAUGGACCAAGGACAACAAGACUGCCAGAGUUUAUAUUCUUGGCUCGAUGACUGAUUCGUUGGCUGCGGAAUAUGAGUCGGAUAAAACGGCCUCCGGAAUAAUGCUCAGGCUGGAACAAGAUUUUGGAGAAGUUUCCCUUGUGAAGGUGCUUAGCCUUGUGAAUAAAUUUCUGACAUCAAAGAUGGGUGAUAAAACAGUCAAUGAACACUUCAACAAGCUCUGUGUCUUGGCGGAAGAGUUAAAAACUGCUGGCUAUCCGUUCCAGGAGGAAGUCCAAGUCAUGGUUGUCCUGAACUCUUUACCACCAUCAUGGGAACAAUUCAAGAUUUCUUUUUGUCAUUCAGAGCGCACACUCAAUAUGAGGAACCUGAGGCAACACUUGCUGAUGGAGGAGGACCGCAGGCUCAACUCAGGAAAAGAUAAAGCUUUUUAUCAGCCAGAACUUCACCUUGGUGAGUACAAUAAUAGUGGGAAUCGGAGGAACUAGAAUAAGAAAGGAGGACCAGACCUAAGGGACAAGAUCAAUUACAAACGUGAUAGGGAUCAAAGAAACUACAGAGAUGACAGGAGGGACAGGGGGCAAAGCAACAACAACAACUCUUUUCACAAGAUUGACAAGAGGAACUGCAAGUGCCAUAAUUGUGGUAAUACAGACCACUUCAGGUCAGAAUGCACCAAGAAGAGGAAGCCGAAUAGUGAAAGGAAUAAUUUUCACAAGGAUGACAGCCGCAAGGGGAAUCAAUCCCCUGAAGCUGCAGGGGUUUACUGAUGCUGAUUGGCAAGGGGGUCUUGAUGACCGGAAAUCAACUUCUGGUUAUCUGUUUGCGGCGCCUCUGUACUGGGCGAUAUCGCGACGGAGCUCAAAAGAGCUUUGUCUGUUGUGUAGCACUUUCAUCUAUGGAAACUGAAUAUAUUGCAGCGUCGGAAGCUGUGAAAGAAGGUGUAUGGUUAAAGGGGUUUCUUGCGUCUCUCGUGGUGGUGGAAAGCGCUUCAUAUCCUGUUACUAUUUUCUGUGAUAACCAGGCGGCAAUCAAGGUCUCAAAGGAUCCCAAAUUUCAUAGCAAAACCAAACAUAUUGAGGGAAGAUAUCA